rnacentral:lncRNA from 1 species
UAUUAUUUUUUUUAGCUAAGAAUUAUACUUAACAACACAAAAGUUGAGAUUAUUCAUAGUAGAAUAUUUACCAACGCUAGAGUUGAAAUUAUUCGUAUUAGAAUUUUUACCAAAGCCAAACUUUGAAUUAUUUCAUAAUGAAAUAUUUACCAACACCAGAAUUGAAAAUAUAUGUAAUUAAAUAUUCACUGAUGCUAGAAUCAUGAAUAUUACUGGUGAACCGUCAUAACACAAAUCAACAAAAAAUUUAGCAAUUUAAAACAAGACUAGCAAUGCAGCUUACCUUAGGUAGAGUGCGCUAGGGGUGCUAAUACCUUCUCUAGUCACGACCCGAAUCCCGGAUCCAUGACCGACACAUAGGCAAGGUUCCCCUCCAAGGUUCCAUAUCUAUGCGAACCCAAACUUACACACAAACUUAUCCUAACUUAAUCAGAGUUCAACACAGCAUUAAUAACAAAAUCAACUUCAUAAUAUAAUUGAAUUGUCUUAAUACAAGAGUUAAUAUAAUUCAUAGUUUUGGAGCACUAAUUUGACAUAAAAGGAAGGUACAAAUUACAACCAAAAAGCAGGUUCGGAAGGUUCAACAAAAGUAACAUGCUAUCAAGCUAUAAGCCUGAAAAGAAUAAUAAUGAGAGGGUGAGUUCAACAACUCAGUGAGUAGAUAACGUUCAAUAUACACACACGAGGUAAUAAAACAAUGAGAAAUAUAUAUACAAGUAUGACUUUAGGUUCUUAUGGAAAUGUUUUUCAAAUUGGCCAUAACAAGAAUGUCAUAUGGUAAAACUCGUCAGAAAAUCAAAAUGCAAUGAGCAUGAAGUAUGACUUUAGGUUCUUAUGGAAAUGUUUCUCAAAUUGGCCAUAACAAGAAUGUCAUAUGGUAAAACUCGUCAAAAAAUCAACAUGCAAUGAGCAUGAGGCUCCGUACUGUGGGAUGAUCAGUCCACACAGGUUGGUGACUCCCCCAACCAACUAGGGUUCAGAUACGAUGUGCACAAAGACUAACACUACCUUGUUAGCAUGGGUAUUCUGACUGACAUACCAUAGGUUCAUAAUCAUAAUCAUAAUCAAACAGACAUAUUCAUAUCUUAAGGCUCAACUCAUGACAUCAAUCAAAUGAGGAGCUAUCAAUUCAGAAGUCAAUUCAAAAUAUAUACUGGUUCAUAUCAAGAAUUCAGAUUCAACAAUUGAUCAUGCUUUAUCAUAACAAGGAUAAUAAUCAACAUAUAUAUUAUCAAGAAGCAUGAUCCAAUUCAUAUUAACAAAUCAAAUAUUUAUAAUAUUUCUCAUGCAUAUGGAAAAUUAUCCACUCACUUGACUCGAAAGCAACAAAACUCAAAGCUGAUAUCGAAGGAAAUCCUACUGACGUCCCGCCGGUAAAAUAUCAGGAUUAUCUGAAUACAAAUGAGACAUAUUCAAGAAUGACUCAAAAAAACAUAUAACCUAUUUAAUACACUUAUCUAAAGGUGUAUUCCAUAACUGUCACGACCCGAAUCCCGGAUUCAUGACCGGCACAUAGGCAAGGUUCCCCUCCAAGGUUCCAUACCUAUGCGAACCCAAACUUACACACAAACUUAUCCUAACUCAAUCAGAGUUCAACGCAACAUUAAUAACAAAAUCAACUUCAUAAUAAUUGAAUUGUCUUAAUACAAGAGUUUAUAUAAGUUCAGAGUUUUGGAGCACUAACUAAACAUAAAGGAGAGAUACAAAGUACAACCAAAGAGCAGAUUCUGAAGGUCCAACAAAAUGACCUGCUAUCAAGCUAUAAGCCUGAAAAGGAUAAAUAAUGAGAUGGUGAGUUCAACAACUCAGUGAGUAGAUAACGUUCAAUAUACACACACGAGGUAAUACAGCAAUGAGAAAUAUAUAUACAAGUAUGGCUCUAGGUUCUUAUAGAAAGGUUUCUCAAAUAGGCCAUAACAAGAAUAUCAUAUGGUAAAACUCGUCAGAAAAUCAAAAUGCAAUGAGCAUGAGGCUCCGUACUGUGGGAUGAUCAGUCCACACAGGUUGGUGACUCCCCCGACCAACUAGGGUUCAGAUACGAUGUGCACAAAGACUAACACUACCCUGUUAGCAUGGGUAUUCUGACUGACAUACCAUAGGUUCAUAAUCAUAAUCAAACAGACAUAUUCAUAUCUCAAGGCUCAACUCAUGACAUCAAUCAAAUGAGGAGCUAUCAAUUCAGAAUUCAAUUCAAAAUAUAUACUGGUUCAUAUCAAGAAUUCGGAUUCAACAAUUGAUCAUGCUUUAUCAAAACAAGGAUAAUAAUCAACAUAUAUAUUAUCAAGAAGCAUGAUUCAAUUCAUAUUAACAAAUCAAAUAUUUAUACUAUUUCUCAUGAAUAUGGAAAAUUAUCCACUCACCUGACUCAAAAGCAAACAGAAGCCAAAAGCAGACACCGAAGAAAAUCCUACUGACGUCCUGUCGGUAGAAUAUCAGGAUUAUCUGAAUACAAAGGAGACAUAUUCAAGAACGACUCAAAAGAACAUUUAACCUAUUUAAUAAACUUAACUAAUGAUGUAUUCCGUAACCCUAUAUGUUUUUGAACUAACUAGUCAAUUUUCUCAAAAACCCAAAAUUUAACGGUUUUCCCGAAAUCUAAUCCAUAAAUAAACAACUAAUAAAAUUGGCAAUAAUUCACUAAAUAACCCUUAAUUAUUCAUCAAACUAAUCUGAAAAGGCUAAUAUUACAGCUAGGGACCAAUCUGUAAUUUAUCAUAUUUUUAGGGCCAAAUUGUAAUUUUUGUCUAAUUGGAGGACCAAACUGAAAUUUAUCAUAAAUCCAUGAAUAUACUGAAAUUCUGACCAUAAUUAGUCCUCAUUUCUGUCCAGAUCAUCUCAUUAUACUCCAAGGACCAUUCUGGAAUUUUACCAAAUUGUUUAGGGUCAAAUUGUAAUUUUGUCAAAUUGGAGGACUAAAUUGAAAGUGUUAAAUUCUCUUAUCUAUACAGUAAUUCUGUCCAUAAUUCAUAUGUUAUUCUGUUCAGAAUCUCGGAAUAGGCUCCAGGGACCAAUCUGCAAAUUUUCCAAAGUUUGGGGACUAAACUGUAAUUUUCCAAAAUUGAGGGACCAAACCGAAAUUUUGUCAUCUUCAACCUCCAACCCAGAAUUCCAACAGAAAACCCACUGUUCUUUCCUUAUUUCUAACACAAAUUCACCAUUCAAACAAAAUCAUAACUCAAAAUCAUCAUCUUUCAAUUCAAUCUCUCAAAAUCAUCCAAAUAAUCAAAUACCCACAACAAUUAACUCUAUAAUAUUCAAAUUAAAUCAUCAAUCAAACCCAAAACACAAAUUUCAUAACCCUAACAUUUAUCAAAAUCGAAAUUAAAGCUUAAUAAUACAAAUUUAUACAUUUAACAACCUAAAUCUUACCUUUAAACUUAUUCCCUUCAAUUCUUUUCUAUUUUCCCCUCUUUUCUCUUCUUCUUCUUUCUCCCUUCUCUCCUGCCGAUUCUCUCUCAAAUAUUCAGAUCUCUUCUUCUUUUUUUUUUUUCUUUCUAUUUAUAUAUAUCAUCUCUUAUACAAUUACUACAAUACCCCUCAUUUAAUUUAUUCCUACAUCUAAGCAUUCAAGGACUUUAUUGUAUUUUCCUACUCAUUUAUUCAAAACAUCACAAUAACCCUAUAUGUUUUUGAACUAACUAGUCAAUUUUCUCAAAAACCCAAAAUUUAACGGUUUUCCCGAAAUCUAAUCCAUAAUAAAACAACUAAUAAAAUUGAUAAUAAUUCACUAAAUAACCCUUAAUUAUUCAUCAAACCAAUCUGCAAAAGCUAAUAUUACAGCUAGGGACUAAUUUGUAAUUUAUCAUAUUUUUAAGCGUCAAAUUGCAACUUUUGUCAACUUGAAGGACCAAACUGAAAUUGUCAUAAAUCCAUCACUAUACUGAAUUUCUGACCAUAAUUAGUCCUCAUUUCUGUCCAGAUCAUCUCAUUAUACUCCAAGGACCAUUCUGGAAUUUUACCAAAUUUUUAGGGUCAAAUUGUAAUUUUGUCAAAUUGGAGGACUAAAUUGAAAGUGUUAAAAUUUCAUAACUAUACUAGAAUUCUGCCCUUAAUUCAUAUAUUAUUCUGUUCAGAAUCUCGGAAUAGGCUCCAGGGACUAAUCUGUAAAUUUUUCAAACUUUGGGGACUAAACUGUAAUUUCCACAAAUUGAGGGACCAAAUUGAAUUUUCUUCAUCUUCAACCUCCAACCCAGAAUUUCAACAGAAAACCCACUGUUCUCUCCAAAUUUCUAACACAAAUUCACCAUUCAAACAAAAAUCAUAACUCAAAAUCAUCAUCUUUCAAUUCAAUCUCUCAAAAUCAACCAAAUAAUCAAAUACCCACAACAAUUAACCCCAUAACAUUCAAUUUAAUUCAUCAAUUAACCCAAAACACAAAUUUUCAAAACCCUAACAUUCAUCAAAACUGAAAUAAAAGCUUAAUUAACACAUAUUUAUACAUAAUCUUACCUUUAAACUUAUUUCUUCAACUCCUUUCUAUUUCCCUUCUAAUUUCUCUCUUUUCUCUUCUUCUUCUUCUUUCUCCCUUCUCUCUCCUGCCGAUUCUCU